UGGCAAUGGAUGUGUGCAUGUCUAGGAUUGGAUCCAUGAAGAGCUUGGUACUUAAGCAGUCCAAUAGACUCACCUCCUCUUUUCUGGCUUCCUACCUGGUGCACAGCUUCCAUUCACUUUAAUCUAUAACGAAAAUAUUCUUCUCAAAGAUUUUUAAUUAAAACAUGAGUUUUACAAUAACGCUCCAAUGAGUUUUACAUCAAGAAGGGUUUUCAAUGAAAACAUGGUUUUCGAAA
rnacentral:lncRNA from 1 species